GGGGUAACAGGGAAGAGCUUGCUUUUCCGCUGACGACCGGCGCACGGGUGAGUAACGCGUAUGCAAUCUACCUCUUACUGGGGUAUAGCCCAGAGAAAUUUGGAUUAAUCCCCCAUAGUACCAUUUGAUCGCAUGAUCAGUUGGUUAAAGGUUACGGUAAGAGAUGAGCAUGCGUCCCAUUAGUUAGUUGGCGAGGUAACGGCUCACCAAGACUUCGAUGGGUAGGGGUUCUGAGAGGAUGACCCCCCACACUGGUACUGAGACACGGACCAGACUCCUACGGGAGGCAGCAGUGAGGAAUAUUGCGCAAUGGACGAAAGUCUGACGCAGCCAUGCCGCGUGCAGGAAGACGGCGCUACGCGUUGUAAACUGCUUUUAUUUACAAAGAAACCUCAGGACGUGUCCUGAGCUGACGGUAGUAUUUGAAUAAGCACCGGCUAACUCCGUGCCAGCAGCCGCGGUAAUACGGAGGGUGCAAGCGUUAUCCGGAUUUAUUGGGUUUAAAGGGUCCGUAGGUGGACAAUUAAGUCAGCGGUGAAAUCCCACAGCUCAACUGUGGAACUGCCAUUGAUACUGAUUGUCUUGAGUACGUUAGAAGUUGGCGGAAUA
rnacentral:rRNA from 1 species